UCCAAUUUUAGCACUACAAUUCACAAACUAUUGUCCCUCAACUUUUAUUCUCCAUUACGUCUCACAUUACCUUCAGAAGUAUCACAAUUAUCAUCUUUGUGACUACAAAUCACCAUUUUAAUCCCUUAUAGCAAUCCAUACACAAUCAACUGUAAUUCACACAAAAUAAAAUCACCUUCAGUACAUGUCCUAAGCCCCAAAAACUAGUGAAUCGUUGGCCAGAAAGAACGCAUCUGUUACGCCACUUGAAAGCCCGCCGGAACAGUGCGAUAGAAACCAGACAAAAAUCACCGGCGAGCUCCAUCACCACCGGCGACCUCCAUGAGUGCCUCCUUCGGUUCACCUUCACUGUAUAGCAAAUGGCAUCACCUUCGUCAUUCUUCUGUCUAAAAAACUCCGCAAAGAUCACCACAGAUCACUCGUGUCUCUCCUUUCAAACUUUUUUUUAUCUAAAAAAACUCACAAGGAUCACCACGGCUCCUCAGCCUUCAAUCGAAGAAACCUCCCGACACCACAAAUUUGGUGAAAAUUUUAAUUUUGGACACUUGCGGUUGACGGUGAAUUCAUAAAGAAAAAAAUAGGAGUGGUGAUUCUUUCAGAUUGAUGCUGGAAUAAAAUUUUGAAAAAAAACAAUUCAAAAAAAAUAAAACUUACUUGAAAAAAUAUGAUAGGUGCGUGACUUACAUUGCCUUUCAGAAAAUUAGUAUUGGUCACCGGAGGUGGUAUUUAUA
rnacentral:lncRNA from 1 species